GUGGGGAAUAUUGGACAAUGGGCGAAAGCCUGAUCCAGCCAUGCCGCGUGAGUGAUGAAGGCCUUAGGGUUGUAAAGCUCUUUCAGUAGGGAAGAUAAUGACGGUACCUACAGAAGAAGCCCCGGCUAACUUCGUGCCAGCAGCCGCGGUAAUACGAAGGGGGCUAGCGUUGUUCGGAUUUACUGGGCGUAAAGCGCACGUAGGCGGAUUGGUCAGUUAGAGGUGAAAUCCUGGAGCUCAACUCCAGAACUGCCGUUAAUACUGCCAGUCUAGAGUCCAGAAGAGGUGAGUGGAACUCCUAGUGUAGAGGUGGAAUUCGUAGAUAUUAGGAAGAACACCAGUGGCGAAGGCGGCUCACUGGUCUGGUACUGACGCUGAGGUGCGAAAGCGUGGGGAGCAAACAGGAUUAGAAACCCCAGUAGUCC
rnacentral:rRNA from 1 species